AGGCUUAUGAAUCCGUGCAGAGAUUUAGUCAGACACCAACUAAUUAGGUCUGAUCAGACUUCCAAGAUAAGUGAAAUU
rfam:Schistosoma margrebowiei strain Zambia genome assembly, scaffold: SMRZ_contig0000046